UACGGGGGGGGCAAGCGUUGUUCGGAAUUACUGGCGUAAAGGGCUCGUAGGCGGCCAACUAAGUCGGACGUGAAAUCCCCAGGCUCAACCUGGGAACUGCGUCCGAUACUGGAUGGCUUGAAUCCGGGAGAGGGAUGCAGAAUUCCAGGUGUAGCGGUGAAAUGCGUAGAUAUCUGGAGGAAUACCGGUGGCGAAGGCGGCAUCCUGGACCGGCAUUGACGCUGAGGAGCGAAAGCCAGGGGAGCAAACGGG
rnacentral:rRNA from 1 species